UUAAGCAUAUCAAUAAGCGGAGGAAAAGAAACUAACAAGGAUUCCCCUAGUAGCGGCGAGUGAAGCGGGAAGAGCUCAAAUUUGUAAUCUGGCGUCUUUCAGGCGUCCGAGUUGUAAUCUAUAGAAGUGUUUUCCGUGCUGGACCAUGUCCAAGUCCCUUGGAACAGGGUAUCAAAGAGGGUGACAAUCCCGUACUUGAUAUGGCCACCAGUGCUCUGUGAUACACUUUCUACGAGUCGAGUUGUUUGGGAAUGCAGCUCAAAAUGGGUGGUAAAUUCCAUCUAAAGCUAAAUAUUGGCGAGAGACCGAUAGCGAACAAGUACCGUGAGGGAAAGAUGAAAAGCACUUUGGAAAGAGAGUUAAACAGUACGUGAAAUUGUUGAAAGGGAAACGAUUGAAGUCAGUCGUGUUCAUUGGACUCAGCCGGUUCUUCCGGUCUAUUUCCUUUGAACGGGUCAACAUCAGUUUUGUCCGGUGGAUAAAGGCAGAGAGAAAGUGGCUCCCUCGGGAGUGUUAUAGCUUUUUGUCACAUACACUGGAGGAGACUGAGGACUGCAGCUCGCCUUUUGGCCGGGGUUCGCCCACGUUCGAGCUUAGGAUGUUGACAUAAUGGCUUUAAACGACCCG
rnacentral:rRNA from 1 species